UACGAAGGGGGCUAGCGUUGCUCGGAAUCACUGGGCGUAAAGCGCACGUAGGCGGAUUGUUAAGUCAGGGGUGAAAUCCUGGAGCUCAACUCCAGAACUGCCUUUGAUACUGGCGAUCUUGAGUUCGGGAGAGGUGAGUGGAACUGCGAGUGUAGAGGUGAAAUUCGUAGAUAUCGGGAGGAACACCAGUAGCGAAGGCGGUUCUCUGGGCCGGCACUGACGCUGAGGAGCGAAAGCGUGGGGAGCAAACAGG
rnacentral:rRNA from 1 species